UACGUAGGGGGCAAGCGUUGUCCGGAAUCACUGGGCGUAAAGGGUGCGUAGGCGGGUCUUUAAGUCAGGGGUGAAAUCCUGGAGCUCAACUCCAGAACUGCCUUUGAUACUGAAGAUCUUGAGUUCGGGAGAGGUGAGUGGAACUGCGAGUGUAGAGGUGAAAUUCGUAGAUAUUCGCAAGAACACCAGUGGCGAAGGCGGCUCACUGGCCCGGUACUGACGCUGAGGCACGAAAGCGUGGGGAGCAAACAGG
rnacentral:rRNA from 1 species